AAAUUGAAGAGUUUGAUCAUGGCUCAGAUUGAACGCUGGCGGCAGGCCUAACACAUGCAAGUCGAACGGUAACAGGAAGCAGCUUGCUGCUUCGCUGACGAGUGGCGGACGGGUGAGUAAUGUCUGGGAAACUGCCUGAUGGAGGGGGAUAACUACUGGAAACGGUGGCUAAUACCGCAUAACGUCGCAAGACCAAAGAGGGGGACCUUCGGGCCUCUUGCCAUCAGAUGUGCCCAGAUGGGAUUAGCUGGUUGGUGAGGUAACGGCUCACCAAGGCGACGAUCCCUAGCUGGUCUGAGAGGAUGACCAGCCACACUGGAACUGAGACACGGUCCAGACUCCUACGGGAGGCAGCAGUGGGGAAUAUUGCACAAUGGGCGCAAGCCUGAUGCAGCCAUGCCGCGUGUAUGAAGAAGGCCUUCGGGUUGUAAAGUACUUUCAGCGGGGAGGAAGGUGUUGUGGUUAAUAACUGCAGCAAUUGACGUUACCCGCAGAAGAAGCACCGGCUAACUCCGUGCCAGCAGCCGCGGUAAUACGGAGGGUGCAAGCGUUAAUCGGAAUUACUGGGCGUAAAGCGCACGCAGGCGGUCUGUCAAGUCGGAUGUGAAAUCCCCGGGCUCAACCUGGG
rnacentral:rRNA from 1 species